CCUACGGGUGGCAGCAGUGAGGAAUAUUGGUCAAUGGACGGAAGUCUGAACCAGCCAUGCCGCGUGCAGGAAGACGGCUCUAUGAGUUGUAAACUGCUUUUGUACAAGGGUAAACCUGAAUACGUGUAUUCAGCUGAAAGUACUGUACGAAUCAGGAUCGGCGAACUCCGUUCCAUCAUCAGCGGGCAUACGGAGGAUCCAAGCGUUAUCCGGAUUUAUUGGGUUUAAAGGGUGCGUAGGCGGAUUGAAAAGUUAGAGGUGAAAUGUAAGAGCUUAACUCGGGAACUGAAUAUAAUAAUGUUGAUAUAGAGAGUAGAUGAGGUAGGAGGAAUGUAUGGUGUAGAGGUGAAAUGAUUAGAGAUAAGAAAGAAAA
rnacentral:rRNA from 1 species